GAUGAACGCUAGCGGCAGGCUUAACACAUGCAAGUCGAGGGGCAGCAUAAUGGAUAGCAAUAUCUAUGGUGGCGACCGGCGCACGGGUGCGUAACGCGUAUGCAACCUACCUUUAACAGGGGGAUAACACUGAGAAAUUGGUACUAAUACCCCAUAAUAUCAUAGAAGGCAUCUUUUAUGGUUGAAAAUUCCGAUGGUUAGAGAUGGGCAUGCGUUGUAUUAGCUAGUUGGUGGGGUAACGGCUCACCAAGGCGACGAUACAUAGGGGGACUGAGAGGUUAACCCCCCACACUGGAACUGAGACACGGUCCAAACUCCUACGGGAGGCAGCAGUGAGGAAUAUUGGUCAAUGGGCGUUAGCCUGAACCAGCCAAGUAGCGUGAAGGAUGAAGGCUCUAUGGGUCGUAAACUUCUUUUAUAUAAGAAUAAAGUGCAGUAUGUAUACUGUUUUGUAUGUAUUAUAUGAAUAAGGAUCGGCUAACUCCGUGCCAG
rnacentral:rRNA from 1 species